CCUACGGGAGGCAGCAGUAGGGAAUCUUCCACAAUGGGCGAAAGCCUGAUGGAGCAACGCCGCGUGGGUGAAGAAGGUCUUCGGAUCGUAAAACCCUGUUGUUAGAGAAGAAAGUGCGUGAGAGUAACUGUUCACGUUUCGACGGUAUCUGACCAGAAAGCCACGGCUAACUACGUGCCAGCAGCCGCGGUAAUACGUAGGUGGCAAGCGUUAUCCGGAAUUAUUGGGCGUAAAGGGAACGCAGGCGGUCUUGUAAGUCUGAUGUGAAAGCCUUGGGCUUAACCGGAGUAGUGCAUUGGAAACUGGGAGACUAGAGUUAAGUAGAGGAGAGUGGAACUCCAUGUGUAGCGGUGAAAUGCGUAGAUAUAUGGAAGAACACCAGUGGCGAAAGCGGCUCACUGGGCGGUAACUGACGCUGAGGUUCGAAAGCGUGGGGAGCAAACAGGAUUAGAUACCCGAGAAGUC
rnacentral:rRNA from 1 species